UCACGGCAAGAAUAUUUGAAGAAAAGGGAACUGUGGAAACUGGAAGAGCUUAGGGAUUAUCUGGAAGAUGAAUCAUACCUUUUUGGAGAUGAAAAGCUCACUGAAGCAGAAAUUCAGGAUUUUAGAUACAAGAAAGCAAUCUACGAGCUCAUAAAGAAAAGGACACAAGAAGAAGAUAAUGUAGGAGAGUAUAGAAUGCCGGAUGCAUAUGAUCAAGAUGGAAGUGUU